GACGAACGCUGGCGGCGUGCUUAACACAUGCAAGUCGAACGGAAAGGCCCUGCUUUUGUGGGGUGCUCGAGUGGCGAACGGGUGAGUAACACGUGAGUAACCUGCCCUUGACUUUGGGAUAACUUCAGGAAACUGGGGCUAAUACCGGAUAGGAGCUCCUGCUGCAUGGUGGGGGUUGGAAAGUUUCGGCGGUUGGGGAUGGACUCGCGGCUUAUCAGCUUGUUGGUGGGGUAGUGGCUUACCAAGGCUUUGACGGGUCGCCGGCCUGGGAGGGGGACCGGCCACAUUGGGACUGAGAGACGGCCCAGACGCCUACGGGAGGCAGCAGUGGGGAAUAUUGCACAAUGGGCGGAAGCCUGAGGCAGCAACGCCGCGUGCGUGAUGACGGCCUUCGGGGUGUAAACCGCUUUCGCCUGUGACGAAGCGGGAGUGACGGUAAUGGGUAAAGAAGCACCGGCUAACUACGUG
rnacentral:rRNA from 1 species